rnacentral:rRNA from 2 species
AUCGUGCAAAGGUAGCAUAAUAAUUAGUUUUUUAAUUGGGAACUGGAAUGAAAGGUCGAACGAGAAAAAAGCUGUCUCAAUUUAAAUUUAAUUAGAAUUUUAUUUUUAAGUUAAAAAGCUUAAAUAUUUUUAAAAGACGAGAAGACCCUAUAGAGUUUUAUAUUUUUAUUUUAUUUUUUUAGGUUAGGGAUUUAAUUUUAAAAUUAAAUUAAAAAUAUUUGGUUGGGGUGAUUAAAAAAUUAAAAAAACUUUUUUUAAUUUAAAUACAUUGAUUUAUGAUUAAAUGAUCCAUUAUUUAUGAUUAUAAGAUUAAAUUACCUUAGGGAUAACAGCGUAAUUUUUUUUGAGAGUUCUUAUCGAAAAAAAAGUUU